rnacentral:lncRNA from 1 species
CUGGGCUGGUCCCCGUCGGCCCCUUUCCGGUGUUUUGGGUUUCUCUCUCUUUCAGCCCUCGGCUGACGUGACGUUACUAGACGAUAUGUUAAAAAUUUAGUUAAGGAAAUGAGACCCUAGCUGCCUGAAAACCGAGACCCCGCCCGUUUGGUUACAGCCACGACGCCGCCAAGCGCUCCAGCGCCGGAGGAGGCCCCGAGGUUCGCUGCCCCAGGCCCGGAGUCCAGCCGGGACACCUCUCCUUGACGAUCUGGGGCCCAGCCCUCACAGCAAGUACAGUUCUGAGAAUUGUGGAACUUCAUCCUUUCAUUUUAAGACACUCCUGCCUUUGCUUGAUGGAAUCCUGUGACACAUCAGCAGAGGCCAAUAACUUUGUUCAAAACAUCACUUCCAACAUUAUCCUGUGGCACUGAUACUUACUCCCAGAAUCGCACGACAGAGUGGAAUGUAUUUUCUGCCAUAAA